AUACGGAGGGUGCGAGCGUUGUUCGGAAUUAUUGGGCGUAAAGCGCGUGUAGGCGGUUUGGUAAGUCUGAUGUGAAAGCCCCGGGCUCAACCUGGGAAGUGCAUUGGAAACUGUCAGACUUGAAUACGGGAGAGGGGAGUGGAAUUCCUAGUGUAGGAGUGAAAUCCGUAGAUAUUCGGAGGAACACCGGUGGCGAAGGCGGCUACCUGGACCGAUAUUGACGCUGAGACGCGAAAGCGUGGGGAGCAAACAGGAUUAGAUACCCUGGUAGUCCACGCCGUAAACGAUGAGUACUAGGUGUUGCGGGUAUUGACCCCUGCAGUGCCGCAGCUAACGCAUUAAGUACUCCGCCUGGGAAGUACGGUCGCAAGACUAAAACUCAAAGGAAUUGGCGGGG
rnacentral:rRNA from 1 species